rnacentral:tRNA from 1 species
GCCUCAGUGGCUCAGCUGGCAGAGCGCGUCCUUGGUAAGGACGAGGUCGCGAGUUCAAAUCUCGCCUGAGGCU